UUAUGUUUUAAAAAAGGACACUGGAGUGUACUGGUGUGAGUCCAGAGAGGGAGCAGCCAGCAGCAGCAUCCAGCUCACUGUCUCUGGUAAGAUCAGACUGUGGAGUUAGUGUUGAUGAAGCUGUGUGGAAAUGGAUGAAAUGCUGUAGUUUGUCUCUGUGUUGAGGUGGAUCAGUGAUCCUGCAGAGUCCUGUCCUCCCUGUGAUGGAGGGAGAUGACGUCACUCUGAGCUGUCA